ensembl:lncRNA
AUUCUUUGGAGUGCUGGUUUGGUAUUCACGAAGUUCCUAAGGUGCUCCUUGUCAUGAAAGUAUCUUAUUUCACCAUCAAUUUUGAAAGAUAAUUUUGCAGGGUACAUCAACCUGGGUUUGAGAUUAUUUUCCUUUUGGGCUUGAAACACAUCACUCCAAGCUCAUCUUGCCUUGAUAGUUUGCACUGAGAAGUCUGGUGUGAUUCUGAUGGGCUUUCCUUUGUAUGUGAUUUGUUUCUUUUCUCUCACUGCUUGUAGAAUUUUGUUCUUCUGUUGGGUUUCUGAAAUCUUAACAAUUAUAUGUCUGUGUGUAGUUUUUUUUGAUCAAGGCUAGUUGGAGUCCUAUAUGCCUCGCUUAUCUGUAUGUCAAAUUGUUUUCCCCUGCUUGGGAAAUUUUCUGCCAUUACUUCUGUGAAGAGUUUUCUUAUGUCAUCUGCACUGUCUCCUCUUUCUUCAUUGACUCCAAUCAGUCUUAUGUUAUUUUUCUUUGCAUCAUCUAGCAGCUGCUGGAUUGAUUUCUCUUGGUCCCUUACAAAUUUAAAGAAUUUUUUCUUUUCCUGGUCACUAAUUGCAAUCUUAUCUUCCAAAUCUGAAAUUCUGUCUUCACUUUGGCUCAUUCUGCUAUGUAGACUUUCAAUGGAGUUUUUCAUCUCCUGGGAAUCUGUUUGCAUCUGUUUUAUGGAUUCCAUUUGUUUCCUGUGUUGGGAUUCCAUCAUGUUCCUCAGCUCCUCUACUUUUUUAUCUGUGUCCUCUCUAGAUUUAUUAAUCAUGUCUUGCACUAUGGGCAAAAUUUUUGCUGUUAUGUGAGAAAUUAUUUCUGAUUUCAUUUUUUCCAAAUCCUCUUUCAUUACUAGUUCAGUGAGUCCAGGUGGUUGAGUAUCAGAGUGUUCCAUCUCAUUUCCCUUUGGGUUUGCUGUAGGUGAUCUGGAAUUCCAGUUCUGAGGCUUGUUUACCUGUCUUCUCAUUUUGACAGGGGUCGGGGAGGGGGGUAUUCCUGGCACCCAGGCAGCUCACCUCCUCUGUGCUGGGAGCCACAGCAUGCCCACCCAGAAGCAUCCUCUCAGCUGGGAGCCAUGGCACACCUACCCAGAAUCGUCCUCCUGGCUGGGAGCCGUGGCGCGCCAACCCGGAAGUCUCCUCUGGCCUGGAAGGCAUGGCAUGCUGACCCAGAAGUCUCUUCUGGCCUGGGAGCCGAGGCACGCCUACCCAGAAGUGUCCUCUGGGCUGAUAGCCGUGGCAUGCCGACCCGGAGGCCUCCUCUGUGCUGGGAGCAGCAGCAUGCCCACCUAGAAAUGUCCCCUAAGUUGGGAGCUGCAGCACACCUUGUGAGGACCCUUUUUGCACAGGUAGAUUUUGCCAACCUUAUGGUGUUUUAUAUGUGAAUCCAGGAUUUUGCAAGUAUUUCUGUGUUGUUUGGUAGAACAGGUAGUUCUUUCACCUCCCCCUUGCCCUGUUCUUGAUAGGAGAAAGUGUGGAGUCAAAAGAAAUCUCCUCCAGUGCUGUGAGACCCAACUUAGCAAAAUGAGUACCAUGUUGAGAACAUUCUCCUCCAUUUUGCAAAUAUGGAACUUCCAACUGCACUCUUUCUCUCCGGAGAAAACCCCACCCCUAACUGAUAAACAGAAACUGUGUUUCAGGUGUUCUGCAACAAACAGUUACCCAGGGGAAUGGGAGGAACUAACUGUCCUUAUCCUGGCUUCUGUGACCAGCUUCUGCAACAAUCUGUAACCCAAGGGAAUGGGAGGAGGGACUUUUUCUGUGGUUUUUUUCUUUAAAUAUGCAGUCCUCAUUUCAGUUGGGGCCUUUGUCCUCUGACUUGGUUGGAGUGUACAUGGGUCCCGGCUGGAAAAUAAAGUUCUCCAAUAAGAUCCCAGGACUGUGUCAUGCUUUGAGAGUUCAUCACUAAUCUAAUUCGGGGAUGAGGUCCAACAAUGCUAGCCAUGCUGGGCAACCUUGGGAAUGUCACACUAACUGGAUCUGACAGGGUGAUAAUACCUCCCUCACAGACUUGUGAAGAUUAUGUGACAAAAUGCUUGGAGGUUUUCACACACACGAAGUCCUUGCCUUAUAUUAACUAUCAUAAACCCAUAACAUUUCUUUUAAAUUUUCCUGUGUAUGUUGGGAGGUAUAAAAAUGGCCCACUGUUUUUGUUUUUCAUUGCUUCGUGGCUAUUAUGAUCAGUUUUAGGACCUGGGAAGAACUCUUCGAACAGUUUUUCUUCUUGGAUACAUGAACUGCUAUAGAAACAUUCCUUGUCCUCAUGUGGUUUUGGAAUCGUAAGACUAAGACCAAAUUCAAGAGAUGGUACCAACACUUAGGUCUGAUUGUUUGACAGGAGAUGAGGAACAAAGAGUAAGUUUGUACUAUUUCAUUAAGUUUUUGCAAUAAUGAAGUUUGAAUUUAGGCUUAGGGUUGCAGGUAGCUACAGGAAGAAUAAAAAUGAAAUGACCUUCACAAUACUAGUAAAUUACAAAUGUAAUAUUGUCUCAGUUCUUCUUCAAGAAUCUUCUUGAAGGCCAGGGAUUUAGCUCAGUGGUUCUGCCACCUGCCGCAUAACCAUAAGGUCCCAAGUUUGAUGCUGGUACCAAAAAAAAAAAAAGAAUCUUCCUGAAGAUGACCCAUUAGAGACUUUAGAAAACUAUCAGAAUAGUUCUUCCAUUUUGGAGAGUGAUUGUAUAAAGCCACAAGCUAUGUUCUCUUUUAAGUAUUAUCUUGUUGUAAAAGAGAUUUUGAAUAUGAGAGGUAGUUGGAAAUGUAAGGACCCAGAUUUUUAAGAUUAGUAUAGAGUGGCAAUAGCCAUAAUAUAGUAGUACUGGGUGAACUGUUAGGAUACUAUUAAGAUAAAUUAAAAUGUUGAUUAUUUGGGAAUAUCCUUUUGGGAAGAAGACAUGAAAAUAAUGAUACUGUAAAGAACAUAGCACCCAGAUUCUGAAGUUUAUUCAUACACUAUUAAAUGAUUUUGUACUUCUUUCUUUUCAUUUAUCUAUUAGAGAUAAGUUUAGAUUUCUUUUCUUCCUUUAGAGAUUCUUGGAAUAUUUUAAAUCACCAAAUUGCGUUUGGAUUUGGGGCUCAAUUACUUAUCAAAUUUUAACUUUAGUUUCCUUACCUGUGGAAUGAGAAUAACACCACCAAGUGUGUUAAUACCUCUAUAAAUCUGAAAGGAAUGAAAAUGCAUACUGCAAACUAUCCUGCAGUCUUUUUUACUAUGCAUUUAAAAACUCUUUCAUGUAAGAAUUUCAAGGUCUAGUGAAACUGUAGAAAAAAGACAUUCUAAGAGUUAGUCUAUUGAAUUUUUGUACUCAUUAACUCUGUCAGUUUCUUUUAAAACUUAUAUCUCUGACACUUCCAUAACUAAUGAAGUUAUUCACUUAAAUGACUAAUGAAGUUACUUUAGUGGUAGGAAAUUGUGAUGCUAUUGAAAACACAGCAGGAGAAGUGGAAGGAACAACUCCAGAAGAAGUCACUGAACACUCAGGUAAUUCUUUUGUUAUUUUAAUACAUAAGUUGUGAGGCUUUCAGAACUGUUGGAAGCUUCCUAUUUUCUUAUGCUGAAUUACGUUUUGAUCAGCUAAUUUUUCCACACCAUCAUGCCUUUUUGUGUGCUUUAAAAAAAAUUUAGAACAGAUCUUUUUCCGCAAAGUGACAUAAUAGUUCUGUUCUGUUUCUGUUGUGGAAGGCAAAGUCUUGCUAAAUUGCCCAGGCUGUCUUUAAACUUGAGAACUUCCAGCCUGUAAUCCCAGCAGUUCCAGAGGCUGAGGCACAAAGAUUUUUUUUUUUUGUACCAGGGAUGAGGCACAAAGAUUUUAAGACCUGUCUUGACUUUUUUAAAUGCUAACUAUAGCUGAGAAAGCCAGAACAGGUCAUGUGCAUUAGUUACUUUUCUCUCCUGGCUGAGACAAAAUACCCAAUGCCCUAAGUUAGAAGGGAAGGGGUUUAUUUGUUUUAAAGUUUGUAGAAGUUUUAGUCCUUAAUCCGCUGGCUCCAAGACAGGAAUGGCAAACAGGCAUCGCAGAGGAGAAACAACAUGGUGCACACAAGGUAGAAAGGCAACAAGGGAGAGGUUUAACAGCAGUCUGCCCCUUUUAUUUUAGACACCGGGAUUAGGGCAGUGCCAAACUAAUCUGUCACGUGUAGUGAUUUAGUAAUCAUAUGUCCUUAAUCCCAGCAUCACACAUUCCAAAUUCAACUACCUCUGAAAAAGAAAGUCCCACCUCACCCACAAGAGGCUUUGGGGGGACAUCUAAACACAAGCCAUAACAUUCCACCCCCAAAGACUCAUGCAUAUCCCUUUAGGCAAAAAAGCAUCUAGUCCAUCUCUAAGAGUUGCCACAGUCCUAAUAGUUUCAGCAUUGCUGAAAAGUCCAAGUCCAAGGGCUCCUCUGAGAUUUAAAGCAAACUCUUAGUUGGAAGCCCCUGUACAAAUGAAAAGAGAGUUAAACACUUCCAACAUUCAAUGGCACAAGACAGACAUUUCCAUUCCAAAAGUUAUAAAUGGGGAUACAAAGGAAUGGGACAAAGCAAGUCCUAAAUCCAGCAGGGCAAACAUCAAAUCACAAAGUUCCACUUCCAGCAUCGGAGGCAAUCUGUAGCAAGUUGUGAACUUGAAAAGGCUUGGGUGGCCCUACCCCUAUGGUACUUCCUGUUGUUGUAGCUCCCAUGGAUUCCCUCCUGGGCUGGUUCUGCUCCUUCCUUGAAUCUUUCCUCAGACGAUCAACGCUCCUGGCUUCUCCAAACUUCUGGGGUCUCCACUGCACCCUUGGCUUCACGCUCACAGCUUCACACCCUGCCCUCUCAGGGCACACUGCCGGCCUCCCAGGCCUUCUCAGACCUGGGUGGAAGCCUUCCUCACUCCACCACUCUUGGGUUUUGCAGGUGCCUAAAACCAGAACCAUGUGGGUGAUGCCAAGGUCUGCAGCCAGCUGGAGCAGUAGCCAGGCUUCCUUCUCUCUUGGCUGUAGGGUGCCUGGAUCGAUCCUGAGGAACUUCCCUAGGCCACCACUGUAAGACCGAGGGCCUUACCAAACUCUCCAAGGAGCUGACUAACGAAGCACACCCAGGAAUCCCAGCGGUGCCUUCAGAAUGUAAGACCAAGAGCCUUACCAAACGCUCCGAGGAGCUGACUACAGCGAAGAACACCCAGGAAGGAACACACCGGACAAGUUGGGAAACAGACCUUUAUUAGUCUGGCCAGACAGCACUCCCAAAGCAAAAUAGCUUAGAGAGGCAACUGGCUCAGAAUCCGAGGCUGUUUUUAUAGGGGGUUGAGGGGGAAGUUAACAUAUAGAAUUAAAGAAAAGGGGACAAAGGUUAGUGGUCAACUGUCACAUAUUGAUGGUCAGCAGACAUUGGCAGCUUGUUCUAACAAUUGUGGUGCCCGGAAUAUCAGUUCCGGGCAAACAAAGAGUUGAGUAGUUUACUCUGGGACUUUAGGUCUGUUACAGAUUUUUAUCUAGCGUCCCAAAACUAACAAGCAUCUUUAUCCAUUAACUCACAUUUAAUCACAAUGGGGCUGGAGAAAAGGAACAAAGGUUAGGCAGUCCCACAACCACCAUUUUGGAACAACUUCCCUAGGCCACUGCCAUUCUGGAACAUGGUGCUCUGAGGUUUCUCCUCAAAGCAAAAUCUUUCACCUUUAUAAGUCUGAGACUGCAAAGGCUGGAGUCCUGCUAUUUCCUGUGAUGCUCUCAGGCCAUCUUUUCUAUUCUGUUCCAUCUCAGUAAUCAAGAUCUCCCCUGCUCUAUCUUUGCUGUCCACAGCUUUACUGAAGCUUCCUUUCUGGCUCUGCUCAAAAUGUUUUAUAUGGAAAUGUAGGUUACAUGGAAAUGUCUCUUAUUCCUUAGCAAAUAAAGUACAGUAGACAUAUAAAAAGUUUUUCAUAUUUACACCCUUCCUCCCUUCAUUCCAUGUCUCCAGCUUUUACUGUUGUGUAGCUGUUUUCAGGGAAAGAUGCAGUGAGCUUCAGGACACAGAAAAGAUUCUGGCUCAGAUUGGAAGGGGAGAGGCAAGAAUUCAAAGAAGAGGAUAUAUGACGGGCUUUAUGUUAUCUCCUAAAACAUACCUGUGUUUAAAAGUUCAAAUCGUGGCAACUUGAGAUGGAAAAUACAAGUUUAUUACAUACAUUUAUAUUUAUAACUCAAAAAUGCCAAAGGAGAUGUAAUACUUUACUUAUAUUGACUGAAAGAGAAAACAUGGAACUAGAAAGAAAGGAGAAGCCAGAGAAACAGAAACAAGGCCAAAGCCUUCAACACAGAAGCAUAUAAUGAAUGGAGCACCCGAUGAUCAAGGAAGAAAAAAGAAGAUGAAAAGAUGAAUGCAUAUUUGUUUCAUAAUCACUAAUGGGUGUCAUAAAAUGUACUGUACAUUGCUCGAUUGUCAUGACAUUGAAAGGGAUCAAGUUCACCUGUUCAUUGUGAUAUAUUAUGUAGUUCCCCUUUUCAAAAUGCAAC